GACGAACGCUGGCGGCGUGCUUAACACAUGCAAGUCGAACGAUGAAGCUAGAGCUUGCUCUGGUGAAUUAGUGGCGAACGGGUGAGUAACACGUGAGUAACCUGCCCCGAACUCUGGGAUAACUGCUGGAAACGGUAGCUAAUACUGGAUACGACCUACGAAGGCAUCUUCUGUAGGUGGAAAGAAUUUCGGUUCGGGAUGGGUUCGCGGCCUAUCAGCUUGUUGGUGAGGGAAUGGCUCACCAAGGAGACGACAGGUAGCCGGCCUGAGAGGGGGACCGGCCACACUGGGACUGAGACACGGCCCAGACUCCUACGGGAGGCAGCAGUGGGGAAUAUUGCACAAUGGGCGCAAGCCUGAUGCAGCAACGCCGCGUGAGGGAUGACGGCCUUCGGGUUGUAAACCUCUUUUAGUAGGGAAGAAGCGAAAGUGACGGUACCUGCAGAAAAAGCACCGGCUAACUACGUGCCAGCCGCCGCCGUAA
rnacentral:rRNA from 1 species